rnacentral:rRNA from 1 species
UACGUAGGGUGCGAGCGUUAAUCGGAAUUACUGGGCGUAAAGCGUGCGCAGGCGGUGAUGUAAGACAGUUGUGAAAUCCCCGGGCUUAACCUGGGAACUGCAUUUGUGACUGCAUCGCUGGAGUGCGGCAGAGGGGGAUGGAAUUCCGCGUGUAGCAGUGAAAUGCGUAGAUAUGCGGAGGAACACCGAUGGCGAAGGCAAUCCCCUGGGCCUGCACUGACGCUCAUGCACGAAAGCGUGGGGAGCAAACAGG